rnacentral:rRNA from 1 species
GCUUGUCUCAAAGAUUAAGCCAUGCAUGUCUAAGUAUAAGUAUUAUACAGCGAAACUGCGAAUGGCUCAUUAAAACAGUUAUAGUUUACAUGAUAAUCGAAUUUACAUGGAUAACCGUGGUAAUUCUAGAGCUAAUACAUGCAUGAACCCCCGACUUUUGAAGGGUGUAUUUAUUAGAUUGAAACCAAUGCGGGUUCCCCGGUAUUUGGUGAUUCAUAAUAACUUUCGGAUCGACUUCGGUCGAUGCAUCAUUCAAGUUUCUGCCCUAUCAGCUUUGGAUGGUAGGGUAUUGGCCUACCAUGGCUUUAACGGGUAACGGAGAAUUAGGGUUCGAUUCCGGAGAGGGAGCCUGAGAAAUGGCUACCACAUCCAAGGAAGGCAGCAGG